CGGCAGAUAUGCAAAUUGGCGAAGCAGGCGGUCUGUAAAACCGUUGCCUUCGGGCGUUGUAGGUUCAAGUCCUACUCUGCCGA
rnacentral:tRNA from 1 species